GUCAUGAUGACUUAAUUAAUUUUGUGUAAAGAGUAGGCUUUCAGAACACCAGCUGACAUUCUUUUUCCUUAUUGCAAGUUUGUGUUGGACUGUGCUCACCAUGUGCAGACAUUAAAUAUUCAGUUGAAAUGCAGUGAAAAGAGCUAAAAAGCUUUCCAGAUUUCCUAACUUUCAAAAACUCCCAUCUCUCAUUAAGGAUGUGCAAAAGCACACUUCUAAUGAAUAGCCCUGGGUGACUUGUUGUCACAUCAAGAUUUCAUAUAAAAUUGAAUUAGUAGAAACUUUGGCAAAACUUUUCAGUAAUCUAUAUUUUUUACAUUUAGCAUUUCAUGUGAAUCAGGUAUUGAACAGCAAUUCUAUCUCAUACUACCUGUAUGCUUUUCAGUUACAUCUUGCUUCCAGUUGCUGUUGUAUAGUUAUCAAACACCAAACCACGGAGCUCCCAGGGGCUGUGUAACCUGUUUACAAGAGGUGCGCUGAUUCCUGUGGUUUCACAAGUCCCUUGGAAAGAUGUCUGAAGAGGCUUUCCGUCACUGACACAAACAGAGGCAGGCUUCCCAAGGUCUUUCCCAUGGCUACAGAAAUGAUCCCGAGGUUUUUCCAUGCAGGAAUUAAUGGUAGAGGCAGAGAUUGGAGAGUUUCAUGGGAAGAAGUUGCUGGCGGGGCUCCUGAGGUUGGGUCCACUGCAAAUGGCAGGUGAGGCGCAAAUGACUACAGCAGUGCAGUGCAGUGGCAUCUCUGUGUCCCUCAGAAUGCCUGGGCAUGGAGGAGGGCUGUGGGAGGACACACCUGCCCAUCCCUCAGAGCUGUGUUUGGUGCUAAGCCACAUGGAGCUGUCAUUUGGUUAAUGCUGUGUACUCACAAAUACUGCUGCUCUCUGUGCUGGAUUUAAUUUUAGGAGGAUUGAAAGGAAGUACCUUGGGAAGGAUUGCACUAGAAGAAGACACAUAAACCUUUUUUUAUGACUCAACUUUGUUAUUUUCACAAAUGCGGAACACAUUUUGGUCUGGCAUCCCAUUUGAUUUGUUUACUGCUUUUGUGUCCCACAUUUACAGAGGCUUUCCAAACAGAGAUGCUUCUCUCAUCUGGCCCGUCUCCGUCUUCUGCACAGAAACCUCAGUAUAGUAUUUUCAUCCUCCUGGAUUUUGGAGACACAGCGCCAGCCGUGAAUACUGGAUAUGUCUCUGAAGCAAAAAGGGUCAAUGGGAAGAUGAAGAUCUCUUGUGUUCCCACUACAUUAUAUCAAUCUUCAGAGCUGUGUUGUGCCACAUAACAACAGUUUGACCUCACUGUACCACACCAUUUGAGGCCUGGAUGGAGUGUUUCCCAACUCUGUCCAGUUCCACAAAUCCCCCUUGCAGCAGAGGAGCUGUCAAGGUGUUGAGAUGACCCUUUCUUCUCUAGCAGUGUUACAUCAGUGCUCAGGACAGUGAAGCUCCACAGGGUAUGGAAGAAAGAACAGAACAUUGGAUAAAGUCAAUCUGGGAUGCAUUUGGGAUGUACUUAGAUGCUUUGGUGGUGGUUAUUACAGAAAAUCCAGACCUGUCUUCGCUUUUGUGCUUAAACUGGAGAUUCCCACUGAGUGCUUUAUUCUGUGGCUUCACCAGAGUAUAUUCUUGUUCAAGCAUGGCACUGUGCUCGUUCUUCACUUCCAGUUUCACAGAAUCUUAUAAUCAGCUAGGUUGGAAAAGACCUUUAAGAUCAUCAAAUCCAACAAUUACCCCAGAACUGCCAAGCCCACCACUAAACCAUGUCACUGAGGUUUCAAGACUGUAUUUGUAUUUGAAGCCAAUGGCAUUGUUUCAUGGAAAUGCAGAAGUCCUUGCCAACUAAGAAUAAGGCGGUCAUCAAAAUAAACUUCCACUCUGGUCAUAUUUCAAGAGAUUCAGUGGAGCCUAGGACAGCCUGACAGCACUGCAUCUCCUUGUUGAAGGCCCUGUAGCAAAUAGAAAUACAAAAUGUAAGUGUUCAGAUUUUUGGGGUGAAAUUCUAUCCAAAUCAUUCCAGUGCACAGAAAUGUGCAGCCUCAACAGAAAGAGUUUCUCUAUCUGAAAUAAAAUAUUAGUGCUUCUGUUGAUGUAGUCAAUUUCCCCAAGCAAGCACCAUCAUCAGAUGGUCCUAAUUGAGUUCUGACACUCAGUCUAAUCAAUGUGUAUUAAAGAAAGAGCAAAAGAACUUGACUUUAGUUUUGGGAAAAUUACAUAUUUAAAAGAUUUUUGUGUCAGCCACAGUGAUUUUACAUUAAGUGAAAGCUGCUGUUAGGAAAAAGAAAUUGAGAAAAUCUCAAAUCUACUCAGCUCCAUUCACUGCACAUUUUAAGAAGAGAAACCUUGUUGAUCAUAAGUACAUUACUGUUUGUUAAAUGAGAGACCUGUAUAUUCCCUGGAUAUGUUACUUUUAAUAAACCUUGCUUCUUAUCCCCAUAAACGUCGGGGAACAUUCAAAUUACUAUUUUACCUCUAUGAAAUGUUCAUUUUCUGUUUACCCCCAUCAAGAAUAACUUUGAAAAACUGUGUAGUACUUCAGACUUCUAUAAGCUGGUGAGGUUUUACUUGUAGAACCAAUGGCCAAAUGAUGGUUGGGUGGUCUAAAGUUUACUCAGCACCCACAUGUUAUAUGGUUUCCAGAACUUCUGUGGUUGAAUUUGAACAUUUAACUUUUUUUUUCAUUCUGUGCAUUAAAUCAUUAUUUCAAAUUAUUGAGGAAGCAAUGGGAAACUGUUAGCUUCAGCAUGAUAUAAUAAUAUAAUGAAAGCCUGAAUUAUUUCUCUGACAUUUA